GAGAUGAGUUCUCCCUGAGACUGUAAGUCUCCUGAAGGAACGUUGAAGACGACGACGUUGAUAGGCCGGGUGUGUAAGCGCAGCGAUGCGUUGAGCUAACCGGUACUAAUGAACCGUGAGGCUUAACCUU
rnacentral:rRNA from 1 species